GCCCAGCCGUAAACUUUUAAUUACAACUUAAAUCGCCAGGGAACUACGAGCCAAGCUUAAAACCCAAAGGACUUGACGGUACCCCAUAUCCACCUAGAGGAGCCUGUCCUAUAAUCGAUAAUCCACGUUUAACCUCACCAUUUUUAGUUAAUCAGCCUGUAUACCUCCGUCGUCAGCUUACCACGUGAGCGCCAAUUAGUGAGCUUAAUGUUUUCCACCAAUACGUCAGGUCAAGGUGCAGCAAAUGAAAUGGGAAGAGAUGGGCUACACUUUCUAUGUUAGAAAAUACGAAAAACUACUUAUGAAACCUAGUUAGAAGGCGGAUUUAGCAGUAAAAAGAAAUCAGCAUAUUCAUUUUAACCCGGCACUGGGGUGUGU
rnacentral:rRNA from 1 species